GCGGUCGUGGCGGAAUUGGCAGACGCGCCAGGUCGAGAGCCUGGUGGCACAGACCGUUGUGGGUUCGACUCCCACCGACCGCA
rnacentral:tRNA from 1 species